GAUGAAGAACGUAGCGAAAUGCGAUACGUAGUGUGAAUUGCAGAAUUCAGUGAAUCAUCGAAUCUUUGAACGCACAUUGCACCUCUCGGUAUUCCGGGAGGUAUGCCUGUUCGAGCGUCAUUUGUACCCUCAAGCUCUGCUUGGUGUUGGGUGUUUGUUCCGCCUCUGUGUGUGAACUCGCCUCAAAACAAUUGGCAGCCGGCGUACUUGUUUCGGAGCGCAGCACAUUUUGCGAUCCAGAUCAACGUACAGCGGCAUCCAAGAAGCUUAUUUAACGCUCUUGACCUCGGAUCAGGUAGGGAUACCCGCUGAACUUAAGCAUAUCAAUAAGCGGAGGA
rnacentral:misc_RNA from 1 species